rnacentral:rRNA from 1 species
UACGGAGGGGGCUAGCGUUGUUCGGAAUUACUGGGCGUAAAGCGCACGUAGGCGGACUGGAAAGUCAGAGGUGAAAUCCCAGGGCUCAACCUUGGAACUGCCUUUGAAACUAUCAGUCUGGAGUUCGAGAGAGGUGAGUGGAAUUCCGAGUGUAGAGGUGAAAUUCGUAGAUAUUCGGAGGAACACCAGUGGCGAAGGCGGCUCACUGGCUCGAUACUGACGCUGAGGUGCGAAAGCGUGGGGAGCAAACAGGAUUAGAAACCCCCGUAGUCC